GCAGAAGCCGUUGGUGUUAUGCCCGAUUUUUGUCGGGUUAUAUAAACUGAACCACGCUGACUCGGGACACUUCACGUCGAGCUCGCUGGAUACACAGUGAGCGCGGAACAGCGGGAAACUUGUCACGUGCCGCGCCCUUCGAUCAGGCAAGCUUCGACCGCACCAUGUCUUUUGCUGCCUUGCGAGUGUCCGACGAGGCCAAGGCGGUGUACAAGGCUUUGAAAGAGGACAAAAAGCACCGUUACAUCGUCUACUACUUAAAGGACGGACACUUUGAAGUGGAGGCUACGGGGGAACGCUCGGCCACCUAUGCGGACUUUCUGGAGAAGGUGCGACAGAGCUACGCGGACGAAUGCCGCUGGUUCGCAGUUGACUUCCUCUACACAGUCGAGGACGCGUGAGCACCAAAGAACGUCCAGUCUUUAUUGUCUGGUAUCCGAAGCAAGCCAACGUCAGGCAGCAGAUGGUGUACCGCAGCUGUUAUGAGGAUCUACGAAAAAGCCUCCCUGGUAUCUCGAAGCACUUCGAGGCGUCCACCAUCGAAGGUGCCAGUCAGGCUGCAGUGGAAGCUUUCGCGCGCAAAUAUACAUAGGGGACGUAUACGGCAUUUGUCAAAAGUAUACGGACUGCUUUGCCUGCAACCGCGAGGCUGUGUACGGGCCUUCUAGAGAAGUUCGUUUGUUCCGUCGUAAGUUCCAACGCCCUGAGGAAUGAAAUAAAACUUUCGUACUCGCUGACA